AGAAGAGGCGUUUACUCUAGACCAGUAUGGUUUGACGCUAAAGAUGGACCAGUAUAGUAGGAACACAGUGCAUUUCCUAGACUUGGAAAUGGAAGUAACGGAGGGAAGAGUAGAGACUUGCGUUUAUAGAAAGCCUACUUGUGAGGCAAUACUGAUGCCUCGGUGGUCUGGUGAUCCAAUGGUAUAUGGGGGAUCGGCUUUCCGAAGUUUGUAUCGUGGAGCGAUUCUGUACUGUGCAGGGGGGGAGGGCCUAGACGGUGAAUUGGCCUACAUAAGGGAUGUUGGAGUGGAGCAUGGAUGCACCGAACCAUGG
rnacentral:lncRNA from 1 species